rfam:Candidatus Saccharibacteria bacterium RIFCSPHIGHO2_12_FTLL_47_16b rifcsphigho2_12_scaffold_22641, whole genome shotgun sequence.
GCUGGUGUUCAUAGCGUGGGGGAAACACCUGUUCCCAUCCCGAACACAGAAGUUAAGCCCCAUGGCGGUUACAAUACUUAGGUUUUAGCCUUGGGAAAAUAGCAAAACGCCAGCA